rnacentral:rRNA from 1 species
CGGGUGAGUAACACGUGGGUGAUCUGCCCUGCACUCUGGGAUAAGCUUGGGAAACUGGGUCUAAUACCGGAUAUGACCACAGCAUGCAUGUGUUGUGGUGGAAAGAUUUAUCGGUGCAGGAUGGGCCCGCGGCCUAUCAGCUUGUUGGUGGGGUAAUGGCCCACCAAGGCGACGACGGGUAGCCGACCUGAGAGGGUGACCGGCCACACUGGGACUGAGACACGGCCCAG